rnacentral:rRNA from 1 species
GACGAACGCUGGCGGCGUGCUUAACACAUGCAAGUCGAACGGAAAGGCCCUGCUUUUGUGGGGUGCUCGAGUGGCGAACGGGUGAGUAACACGUGAGUAACCUGCCCUUGACUUUGGGAUAACUUCAGGAAACUGGGGCUAAUACCGGAUAGGAGCUCCUGCUGCAUGGUGGGGGUUGGAAAGUUUCGGCGGUUGGGGAUGGACUCGCGGCUUAUCAGCUUGUUGGUGGGGUAGUGGCUUACCAAGGCUUUGACGGGUAGCCGGCCUGAGAGGGUGACCGGCCACAUUGGGACUGAGAUACGGCCCAGACUCCUACGGGAGGCAGCAGUGGGGAAUAUUGCACAAUGGGCGGAAGCCUGAUGCAGCAACGCCGCGUGCGGGAUGACGGCCUUCGGGUUGUAAACCGUUUUCGCCUGUGACGAAGCGUGAGUGACGGUAAUGGGUAAAGAAGCACCGGCUAACUACGUG